CAGGAAAGGUAGACCCACCCCACCCCCAACUUCAGCUCCUGUGUGAAAGGGUGAAGAACCUGGAGGGGAUGUUCUAUUUUACCAACACAAGCAUGUCCUUCCUAACAAGGAGGGCUGCUUAGAGGAUUGAGAAAGGGAGAAUAUCAUGAGGGACAUAAGGAAGAAGGGACCAAAACUUAAAAUUCUAACUGACAAUCCAGUUUCCAACAUAAGUGCAAUUUUAGGUUAUGCAAAAUUUUUUCUUUGCAGUGAAAUCAAGAGCUGGCUGUAAUUUCUGUCACCAUAUUGCAAUGCUGCUGCUUAGAAAGCUAAGCAUAUGUAUGUGUGGUUUAUCAAACAAAGAUGUUGUUGUUUAACAUGCAAAGCCACAGCAGUUACAUUUGUUACAAAUGCUGGGUUUCAUCCAGCAGGAUUGGAACUGCUUCUCCUGCUUUAGGAAGUCUUACUCGCGUUAGCUCUGGAUAUGGCUUUUCCAGAUUACAGUUUGCUUCCCUUCGGACCUCAAGAAAAUAUAAGGAUAAAGAAUUGGCUUUGGGUCUUUGCUCAUAUGCAGAGGGGAGACCUGCUGCCUGUGUGGAUAGGGAACAUCUCUCCUGCUGCCUUCCAGAACCCUGCCUGGAGUCAAGGAGCCUGAGACAAGGAAGUUAAAUCAGCAGCUCAAAGAUUUGCCUUCUCCUACCUCACAAAGCAACCACGUCUUCCUGGCAGGAGCCCCUUCAGAGACCAGUGGGCACCAAGCACCUCAGGAAAUGCUGAGAUCUUAUUUUGAAAGUUCUAAAUACAAAUGAAAGGUUGGCAAGGAGAUAGCCCUUUCUCCUUUCUUUAUGUUGUGCCAAUGGCAGCCGAAAGAGGAGCGAACACCUGAACAGUCCUCUCCUAGGGCAGAGAUAAGCCCUGUUGGAAGUUCUGCCAAGUGCCCACCUGUUAGCCAGACCCUUUAACUCAUGCCUGUUUGGCCAGUAGGAAACUCAGGGGAGCUGGUCCUAGAAGCCAGCCCAUGCAAUUGCUUGAAGAUGCUGAGAGUACUCUUGCAGGCACUGACAAGACCAGAUGCAUCUAAGACAAAGAAGUAAGCAGCUUCCUCAAGAUAACUAUGAAAUGGGGAAUCAUGUUCCAACAAGUAGUAACAAGCCCUUCUAGGCCAGAGCAUUGUACUUUCCACAGGUCUGACUAGAAGGACCAGCAGCUCACACAUACAAGCCCAGAACC
rnacentral:lncRNA from 1 species